UACGGGGGGGAGCAAGCGUUGUUCGGAGUUACUGGGCGUAAAGGGCGUGUAGGCGGUUAGUUAAGUCUGGCGUGAAAGCUCUCGGCUAAACCGGGAGAGGUCGUUGGAUACUGGCUGACUAGAGGACGGUAGAGGCGUGUGGAAUUCCGGGUGUAGUGGUGAAAUGCGUAGAGAUCCGGAGGAACACCAGUGGCGAAGGCGACACGCUGGGCCGUACCUGACGCUAAAGCGCGACAGCAUGGGGAGCAAACGGG
rnacentral:rRNA from 1 species